AGCAGUAGCCGCGGUAAAACGUAUGGUGCGAGCGUUAAUCGGAAUUACUGGGCGUAAAGCGUGCGCAGGCGGUUUUGUAAGACAGAGGUGAAAUCCCCGGGCUCAACCUGGGAACUGCCUUUGUGACUGCAAGGCUAGAGUACGGCAGAGGGGGAUGGAAUUCCGCGUGUAGCAGUGAAAUGCGUAGAUAUGCGGAGGAACACCGAUGGCGAAGGCAAUCCCCUGGGCCUGUACUGACGCUCAUGCACGAAAGCGUGGGGAGCAAACAGGAUUAGAUACACCAGUAGUCCCUGUCUCUUAUAA
rnacentral:rRNA from 1 species